rnacentral:rRNA from 1 species
GAUGAACGCUAGCGGCAGGCCUAAUACAUGCAAGUCGAACGGUGUCUUCGGACAUAGUGGCGCACGGGUGCGCAACACGUAUGCAACCUACCUUACAUUGGGGGAUAGCCUUUCGAAAGGGAGAUUAAUACCGCAUAAGACAGUAGCUGGGCAUCCAGCAGCUGUUAAAGAUUUAUCGAUGUAAGCUGGGCAUGCGUCCAAUUAGCUAGUUGGUGAGGUAACGGCUCACCAAGGCAAUGAUUGGUAGGGGAACUGAGAGGUCAAUCCCCCACACUGGAACGGAGAAACGGGCCAGACUCCUACGGGAGGCAGCAUUAGGGAAUAUUGGGCAAUGGACGCAAGUCUGACCCAGCCAUGCCGCGUGCAGGAUGAAGGCGUUAUGCGUUGUAAACUGCUUUUAUACAGGAAGAAACGACUCUUGCGAGAGGCAUUGACGGUACUGUAUGAAUAAGCACCGGCUAACUCCGUGCCAGCAGCCGCCGUAAAAC